rnacentral:rRNA from 1 species
UUAAUUGAAGAGUUUGAUCAUGGCUCAGAUUGAACGCUGGCGGCAGGCCUAACACAUGCAAGUCGAGCGGCAGCACAGAGAAACUUGUUUCUCGGGUGGCGAGCGGCGGACGGGUGAG